GUCCUAGCCCUAAACGAUGGAUGCUUGGUGUGUCGGGUACCCAAUCCCGACGUGCCGAAGCUAACGCUAUAAGCAUCCCGCCUGGGGAGUACUGUCGCAAGGCUGAAACUCAAAGGAAUUGACGGGGGCCCGCACAAGCGGUGGAGCAUGUGGUUCAAUUCGACGCAACGCGAAGAACCUUACCUGGGCUCGAAGCGCAGUGUACCGGGAUAGAAAUAUCCCUUCCCCUUAAAAGGCUGCUGCGGAGGUGCUGCAUGGCUGUCGU
rnacentral:rRNA from 1 species